GUUUGAGGUCAUCUCGUUGCCUAGAAUGGAAGUUGGAACACAUUAUGCCAAAUAACUCUAUAGUGACGGACGGAAUGUACGAAUGAAGAGGGCAGAGUACCACAGAAAGCUACAUAAUGAUGCAGUGCAGAAUGGGAAAUGCCAGAUGACAAUAGUAAAGAAGGGUUGAUGCUCCGAAGAAAUUAGAACAUGUAACAUUGCUAUAAAAGGUUCUUCCACUCUUAUAAACAAGGCC
rnacentral:lncRNA from 1 species